rnacentral:misc_RNA from 1 species
UAGUACAACCGAGGUGCGGAGGGCUGUCGCUGACUUUUUGUCGUGCACGCCCGAAGCGCUCUCACACAAUAUCCAUCUCACCCAUUUGUGCAUCAUCGCGUGGGUCCUGCUUUUUGGCUUGUUCCGAGGGGGUGACCUGCGUUUUUACAUAGACACCCUUUGAAUGCAUGUGUAGAACGUCUUACUUUUUGCGAUCACACGCAAUCAAUA